AAUGGUCAAUAGUAGUUAGGGGUCACUGUGAUUAUUAUUAGGCCUUUUGACGAAAUAUUUGCACAACCUUGUCUGGAGUAACCAACGAUCUUAAAAUGUUUGGCUCAAAUUUCCAGGACAAAACCAAGUGUCUGGUAUUAUGAAAUGCAUAUAUUACCAAACCCAAGAGCCCGAUAUAGAGGACCAUUUCAGAAAGACUUUCUAAACCAGUCACGUAAAUAAAUACAAAACCAAUGGGCUUCCAUAGUUCCUUUUAUCUACAAACUUUCCUCUGCCAGCAUCUUACUCAAUCACUGAGAUGCCGGGAAAGGCUGUGCACGGGCAGCUUUCCUAGGCCUGUUGGCUGACUUCCUGAGCGCCGGCUCAUUCCUGAUGUCCGCGGAGGGCCAAGGCCUGCCGUGUCUCCUGGGCCACCGACGUCGGUUUCAUCUCUGUGGCUGGCCUGGCCUGGUGGGAGUGGUUCUGACACGCUGGUGUCACUCUCAUGGAAGCAGCAGGACCGCUCAGAAGCAUCAAGACAGGGGCGCCUGGGUGGCUCAGUCGGUGAAGAGGCCGACUUCGGCUCAGGUCAUGAUUUCGCGGUCCGUGAGUUCGAGCCCCGCGUCUGGCUCUGUGCUGACAGCUCGGAGCCUGGAGCCUGCUUCGGAUUCUGUGUCUCCCUCUCCCUCUGCCCCUCCCCUGCUUGUGUUCUAUUUCUCUUUCUCUCUCAGAAAUAAAUAAACAUUAAAAAAAUGGGAAAAAAAAGGAAGAAGCAUCGAGACAACGUGGGACAUCUUGUGACCGGUUCCCGGCUGGUCCUAGAUGCACCAUUUCCGUAGCUCGGUGCCAGCCAGGCAGGGACCUGAGCAAGCAGGUUGGCGGGCUGGAGACAGGAUGGAACAGAAUGAAGACUUCAUUAGAAUCCCCAGGGGAUUAGAACCGCAAGCCAUCCUAGAGAUCUUCUCACCAAAUCUCUCGUUUGCAAAUGAGAAUACAAUUGAGAUUCAGAGAAGCUACGAGUAGCUUAGGUAGGUGGCCGACCAUCAAAAGGCAGCUAAGAAUAGACUGGAAGCCAUAUUCCGUGAAUCCUGGUUCCUACUACUAGUCUUCGGUGAUCACUCACACAGAAAAGAAUGUAGGAACUUCACGAUCACUCAGGCCUUCGCGGCUGUCGGCCGUGAGGUCAUGAUGUCAGCAUGUGGAAAGUAACCGACAAAGCAGCAGACAAAAGCCUUUGCUGGCUCCACGGGGACAAGCAAUGCUCAUGGGACAAAGGAAUUUCCUCCCACUCCCUGGUGUCGCCAUGCGUUCUGCCACCGAUGCUCCAUGACUUAGCUUAAGACUUAGGUAUUUACUAAAAUACAGCGGUCUCCAGAAGGGGUGUCGCCUUCAGACUCAUUUACCCUCAGGAUGAAUGCUUUCUCCAGAUUCGCUUCUGCUCGAGAAGGGGCAGGGGAUGCCUGAGAGCUGGAGAGAGACGGGAGGUACCGCUAAGAAGUUGGUGUAAGGAUGGAGCUAGAGAACAAAUUUCAGUGAGUCAUAGUUUUCCCAGGGUCUCUGCCUGUCUGAUGUGGGUUCCCUGGGGCGCAGGAGAGGGAAGGAGAAUGCCUGUAACAGAUUGCGAGAAUGGCCCCGGUCGUCCACCCCUUCAAUCCGGGCUGGUUUUGUGACUUGCUUUGGCCGGUAGAAUGUGGCAGGACAGGGGCACCUGGGUGGCGCAGUCGGUUAAGCGUCCGACUUC
ensembl:lncRNA